rnacentral:rRNA from 1 species
CUACGGGUUGCUGCAGUGGGGAAUUUUGGACAAUGGGCGCAAGCCUGAUCCAGCCAUUCCGCGUGAGUGAAGAAGGCCUUCGGGUUGUAAAGCUCUUUCGCAAGGGAAGAAAACUUAUCCUCUAACAUAGGGUGAGGUUGACGGUACCUUGAUAAGAAGCACCGGCUAACUACGUGCCAGCAGCCGCGGUAAUACGUAGGGUGCGAGCGUUAAUCGGAAUUACUGGGCGUAAAGCGUGCGCAGGCUGUUUUGUAAGUCAGAUGUGAAAUCCCCGAGCUCAACUUGGGAACUGCGUUUGAAACUACAAGACUAGAAUAUGUCAGAGGGGGGUAGAAUUCCAUGUGUAGCAGUGAAAUGCGUAGAGAUGUGGAGGAAUACCAAUGGCGAAGGCAGCCCCCUGGGAUAAUAUUGACGCUCAUGCACGAAAGCGUGGGGAGCAAACAGGAUUAGAUACCCUGGUAGUC